rnacentral:rRNA from 1 species
AGCAGCCGCGGUAAUUCCAGCUCCAAUAGCGUAUAUUAAAGUUGUUGCAGUUAAAAAGCUCGUAGUUGAACCUCGGGAUCAAUGGAUCGGUCAUGCCAUCGGUAUGUACUGGUCUCAUUGGUUCUCACCUUCUAAGGAACCAUGAUGUCAUUCAGUUGAUGUUGUGGGGAAUUAGGACUGUUACCUUGAAAAAAUUAGAGUGUUUAAAGCAGGCUAACGCUUGAAUACAUUAGCAUGGAAUAAUGAAAUAGGACAUCGCAUUCUAUUUUGUUGGUUUCUAGGAUCGAUGUAAUGAUUAAUAGGGAUAGUUGGGGGCAUUAGUAUUCAAUUGUCAGAGGUGAAAUUCUUGGAUUUAUUGAAGACUAACUACUGCGAAAGCAUUUGCCAAGGAUGUUUUCAUUAAUCAAGAACGAAAGUUAGGGGAUCGAAGACGAUCAGAUACCGUCGUAG